UCCCUGAAGGUUCAGUGGUUAGGACUCAGCGCUUUCACUGCCGGGGCCUGGGUUCAAUCUCUGGUCAGAGAA
rnacentral:tRNA from 1 species